UCCCCGGUGGCCCAGUGGCUAAGAUGCUGCACUCCCAAUACAAGAGGUCUAGGUUCAAUCCCUGGUCGGGGAA
rnacentral:tRNA from 1 species